rnacentral:rRNA from 1 species
UACGUAGGGUGCAAGCGUUAAUCGGAAUUACUGGGCGUAAAGCGUGCGCAGGCGGUUGUGCAAGACAGGUGUGAAAUCCCCGGGCUUAACCUGGGAACUGCAUUGGUGACUGCAUUGCUGGAGUAUGGCAGAGGGGGGUGGAAUUCCACGUGUAGCAGUGAAAUGCGUAGAGAUGUGGAGGAACACCGAUGGCGAAGGCAGCCCCCUGGGCCAAUACUGACGCUCAUGCACGAAAGCGUGGGGAGCAAACAGG